rnacentral:rRNA from 1 species
CCGGAGAAUGUUAUCACGGGAGACACACGGCGGGUGCUAACGUCCGUCGUGAAGAGGGAAACAACCCAGACCGCCAGCUAAGGUCCCAAAGUCAUGGUUAAGUGGGAAACGAUGUGGGAAGGCCCAGACAGCCAGGAUGUUGGCUUAGAAGCAGCCAUCAUUUAAAGAAAGCGUAAUAGCUCACUGGUCGAGUCGGCCUGCGCGGAAGAUGUAACGGGGCUAAACCAUGCACCGAAGCUGCGGCAGCGACACUCAGGUGUUGUUGGGUAGGGGAGCGUUCUGUAAGYCUGYGAAGGUGGCCUGUGAGGGUUGCUGGAGGUAUCAGAAGUGCGAAUGCUGACAUAAGUAACGAUAAAGCGGGUGAAAAGCCCGCUCGCCGGAAGACCAAGGGUUCCUGUCCAACGUUAAUCGGGGCAGGGUGAGUCGACCCCUAAGGCGAGGCCGAAAGGCGUAGUCGAUGGGAAACGGGUUAAUAUUCCCGUACUUGGUGUUACUGCGAAGGGGGGACGGAGAAGGCUAUGUUGGCCGGGCGACGGUUGUCCCGGUUUAAGCGUGUAGG